CGACGCCUUGAUAUUGGAAUGGGGGGGAUGUAUAAAACGUUGCUCAGUUGGCUAUCUAAAAUGGGGCUUGUUCUACGCCAAGAAAGCAACUUAAUUAUUAAAGAUUGAUAUACUGUAUUAAUUUGUACAUAGAUUAUAUUAACUUAUAUCUUAAAUGACUAUUUUAAUUUGAUAAAGGCAGAUUUUAUUAAUUCAAAUAAAUAUACUUUUGCAAGCGGAACAUGUCAGUUAGGAUUAUUGAAGAAUUUGAACAUUUCUAUCAAGAUGUAUCACAAGCUAUAUACAGAUAUACUGUAUCAAAUUUGAAAAAAUGCUAC
rnacentral:lncRNA from 1 species